GAUUAUUGGCAGUACAGUCGAUUAGUCUGCUGCACUGCAAAUAGGUAGGACGCACCACCGCACACCUCUUUUAAUCGAAAGAACUUGAUGUAUUUGUGGGUGAACUGCAUAAAAUGGGUAAAGAACAUUGACAAGUGAGUUAGCUACUUCCAAUAGUAAAUUAAUUUAAAUGGAUCAGCAGCUGCAACAACAGCAUGAACAACAGUGUGCAGGUGUAUCAGAAAAUUACAUCUCACCAGCCUGGCUGUGCACUCCACACAUAAAAGUGGAGAGUGACGUAGAUGUUUACCGAUGUCAGACUUCACUUUAUGACUUAAAUAAUAGCCAUCCGACCAACUGUGUUCCACAAAGCAAUUCAACUUAUGUCAAUGGACCUACCAUGAAUUGUUCACCGAAUGAUUGCGGCACUAACAAAAUAUUGUCAGUGGGCCAUGAUAGUUCUACUUACCAUGAACAAAAUAAUUUAUCUACUGCUCAGCAGCCUGCCAUUCAAGGUUUUGGUAACAAUCAAGAAAGUGAAGAGAGGAUGAAAUUGAAGAAUCAAGGCAAUGUUGAAUACCACCGAAAGCAAGCUUUUGAUUUGACUUGCAGAAGUAAAAGCCCAUCAAAAGAAGAAGAAAGCUCUAGCAGUGAUUCUCAGUUAACUGUUGAUGAGACUCUAAAUGUUGAAGGGCAGACUAGAUUUUCAACCAAAACAACAUGUGAAAUCUGUGGCAAAGUUCUAUCUUCACUUUCUUCAUAUUAUGUUCAUAUGAAAGUACAUUCAGGAAACAAACCAUAUGCAUGUACUUAUUGUGAAGCGACUUUUUGUCGCAAACCCUAUUUGGAAGUUCAUAUGAGGACGCACACUGGUGAGCGUCCGUUUGCUUGUGUCACUUGUAAUAAGCGCUUCUCCCAGAAAAGCAGCUUAAAUACUCACAAGCGAGUGCAUACAGGAGAGCGACCCUACUCUUGUGAUAUUUGUCAAAAAACUUUUGCUGUCAAAAGUUAUGUGACUGCUCAUAGGUGGACCCACAUUUCAGAAAAGCCACUGGAUUGUCAACACUGUGAUCUUAAAUUUACAUCAAAGAAUCUGUUUAACCUGCAUAUAAGAACACAUAUCGAUCAAAAUCAUGAAUGUAAUAUUUGUGGAAGAACUUUCAUGAAAGAUUCAUAUUUAAUUCGCCACCAGAACAAAGUUCAUCGGGAACCAAAUUUCCAGACUCACAUCAAUCAAGAUCAUUUGGUGUGUCCACCUGAGACUGACCCAACUUAAGAAACUCUCCAAAACUUUUGCUUUAUCUCUGCUACCUACUAUGUACUCAAACAUAUACCAUUUAACAUGUAUUAGAUAUUGCAGUCAGUGGAUGCCUGCUUUAUAUAUGCUAACCUAGGAUUUAUAGAAGCUACAAACCACCAGAUGUUUGUCUCAUAAGGGAACCAGCAUAGUCUAAAGCAAUUAGCCAAUUUUUAAGAGUCAAAGGGGCUUUAUGCAGAUAAGACAAGUACAAGAUACAGUAUUUGUACAUAGUAUAAGACAAGGUACUCUUGGCACAUUUACCUAAGCCUACAAAAAGAAUCUUGAAUUUUUAAAAACAAAGGAAACACAAGUCAAAUCACAGGGACUACAAUCAGUAUUAAUCAAACAAUACGUAUUCAAGUAAUUACCAGUAGUUUUGUGCUCAUAAUACAUGAACUGAUAAAGUGCCCAUCAUGGCAAUAUUAGUGCCAACAUUCCCCUACUAAAAAAUUUGAAGGGCCACUAUCACACAAUUCAGCUGGGAUUGACACAGACAACAUCGUCAUUUCUAAGUCACAAAAAAAACUGAGUGGGACAAAUGUGAAAAAAAAAAUUAACAUUGAGAAGACAACUAAAAAAAGCAAUCUGAAUUACUUAAAAACUUGGAAAGUGAAUAA
rnacentral:misc_RNA from 1 species